rnacentral:lncRNA from 1 species
GUCAUUGAGAACGGAGCAAGACAAUGUGCGGCAGCAUGUGAUGGAAACACAGACACUUGGGCAAGACCAUUGGGCCUCAGGUGGCGACCCUCAUAGACAAAUAAAAGUCUAUCUGUGGGCCAGGUGGAGCUACCUGCAAGCUGUAUUCUGGACAGCCUCCAUGAAUGAUGCAGUCCCCGUCGUCAGUGUGAGCAGAGUGCAGACUGGUUUCAAGCUGCACGCACCUCCUCACGUACAGCGCUGUUCGCAAGACCGCAGGACGUAUGACUUUGAUGAAGUCGACACCAAGACGAUGGCUCCUGGGCUCUCGUGACUCAGCACGAGCAUCCAGCUGAAACAAGGUGUGAAGCACCGGUGUACUUUUCCCUCAUUCUUCACAAGUGAAUGCGUGCGUGAUUCCUCAGAGAGCACUAGACAACUGGAAAACAUUUUCAUAAUCAUGACUCUCACCAGGCCUUCCUGCGCAGGGGAGAGGGUGCACAUAAACCAGGCCCCACCAGGGAAAUGUGACAGUGCUGUUCAGCAUCACCCCCUGUAGAGGUAUCCAUGUUGGUCGGCUGAGAAGGACAGGCGGAGCACGUCGUCCCACAUUACAAAGUUCCCCAAUAAAAAGACUCAGAUGAUCUGCGCCCA